GUUCUGUUUUUUAUGGUAGGGGUUCCUUUUUGGCUGAGUAGUAAAUGCAAUAGUGGCAUACUGCUGUUCAUAUCAAUUAUAAGAGAAAAACAACGGAACAACAGACACACUGAACUGCUACAAAAGCAAACGGCAAUAUCCAUAGAAACAAACUACUUCAGGAGCCUAUAAUUCAGUGGUUGUCGUUUGUUUAUGUGUUACAUAUUUGUUUUUCGUUCAUUUUUUU
rnacentral:lncRNA from 1 species